AUUGAACGCUAGCGGGAGGCUUUACACAUGCAAGUCGAACGAGUGGCGGACGGGUGAGUAAUAUAUCGGAACCUGCCCAGUAGCGGGGGAUAACUACUGGAAACGGUUGCUAAUACCGCAUACCAUCCGAUCGGCCCCUAUAGGAUUAGUUAGUAGGUGGGGUAAAGGCUCACCAAGGCAACGAUCCCUAGCUGGUUUGAGAGGAUGACCAGCCAGACAGGGACUGAGACACGGCCCAGACUCCGACGGGAGGCAGCAGUGGGGAAUAUUGGACAAUGGGGGAAAGCCUGAUGCAGCCAUACCGCGUGUAUGAGAAGGCCUUCGGGUUGUAAAGAACUUUUGGCAGAGAAGCGGUAUCUGCAGAAGAAGCACCGGCUAACUACGUGCCAGCAGCCGCGGUAAUUC
rnacentral:rRNA from 1 species